GACGUAGGGUCCAAGCGUUGUCCGGAUUUACUGGGCGUAAAGCGUGCGCAGGCGGUUCGUUGUGUCGGCGGUGAAAGCCCCGGGCUUAACCUGGGAAUGGCCGUUGAAACUGGCGAACUGGAGUGUGGCAGAGGGGGGUGGAAUUCCGGCGUGUAGCAGUGAAAUGCGUAGAGAUCCGGAGGAACACCAGCGGCGAAGGCGGCACCUGGACUGGUCCUGACACUCAUGAGCGAAAGCGUGGG
rnacentral:rRNA from 1 species